rnacentral:misc_RNA from 1 species
AAGUCGUAACAAGGUUUCCGUAGGUGAACCUGCGGAAGGAUCAUUAACACAUCCUUUUCCAUAUCUACCUUGGCGCACCAGAAAAGCGAGCCUGUUUAAGAGAAGGCGUGUCAGGCAAUGGUUAGAUUCUCGAUCGACUCUUGUCUCGGGAUUGGCCUGCCGCGCUAGCCACCCUGCCUGUGUGCGACUGCACUCUUCGGAGAGCAGACCCGAUGGCUCGAGGUGGGAACUUCUACUUUCAGGUCAUACAGCCUCUUUCCAUGACUGGCCCCAUUUUAUUUUUUACCUUUUGCUAUUUGUACUGAUUCGGGCUUUCGAUCAGAUCGAGAUGCAGCCUAGCUCAUUUCUCUGGGACGAGUCCUUGAGUGAGUCGCGUCGACUCAUUUCUAAAACAAACAAAACACAACUCUUAACAGCGGAUAUCUCGGUUCUC